rnacentral:rRNA from 1 species
AUUGAACGCUGGCGGCAGGCCUAACACAUGCAAGUCGAGCGGAGCGGCAGACGGGGGCGUAAUGCCUAGGAAUCUGCCUGGUCGUGGGGGAUAACGUCCGGUAACGGGCGCUAAUACCACAUCCUAGCACAUGAGCCUGGGUCGGAUUAGCUAGUUGGUGGGGUAAAGGCCUACCAAGGCGACGAUCCGUAACUGGUCUGAGAGGAUGAUCAGUCACACUGGAACUGAGACACGGCCCAGACUCCUACGGGAGGCAGCAGUGGGGAAUAUUGGACAAUGGGCGAAAGCCUGAUCCAGCCAUGCCGCGUGUGUGAAGAAGGUCUUCGGAUUGUAAAGCACUUUAAGUUGGGAGGCGUUACCAACAGAAUAAGCACCGGCUAACUUCGUGCCAGCAGCCGCGGUAAUAC